rnacentral:rRNA from 1 species
AAAGAAACCAACAGGGAUUGCCUCAGUAACGGCGAGUGAAGCGGCAAGAGCUCAAAUUUGAAAGCUGGCCCCUUCGGGGUCCGCGUUGUAAUUUGCAGAGGAUGCUUCGGGUGCAGCCCCCGUCUAAGUGCCCUGGAACGGGCCGUCAUAGAGGGUGAGAAUCCCGUCUGGGACGGGGUGUCUGCGUCCGUGUGAAGCUCCUUCGACGAGUCGAGUUGUUUGGGAAUGCAGCUCUAAAUGGGUGGUAAAUUUCAUCUAAAGCUAAAUACUGGCCGGAGACCGAUAGCGCACAAGUAGAGUGAUCGAAAGAUGAAAAGCACUUUGAAAAGAGAGUUAAACAGCACGUGAAAUUGUUGAAAGGGAAGCGUUUGCGACCAGACUCGCCCGCGGGGUUCAGCCGGCACUCGUGCCGGUGUACUUCCCCGUGGGCGGGCCAGCGUCGGUUUGGGCGGCCGGUCAAAGGCCCUCGGAAUGUAUCACCUCUCGGGGUGUCUUAUAGCCGAGGGUGCAAUGCGGCCUGUCCGGACCGAGGAACGCGCUUCGGCUCGGACGCUGGCGUAAUGGUCGUAAAUGAC